rnacentral:lncRNA from 1 species
AAUCAAGCUUUGGUUGAUUUCGCAUAUUCUGGUUUCAUUCCUUUGGAAGUUGAUAUCCUUUAGCUUUCUUAUUCAAUUGAGCUUUAUAUUACUACUUUGAAUUCUUGUAUGCUCUUAUCCUUAAAAUUAUUUGCAUUCUUGAAAACUAUUGUGUAACGUUUAUGCUAUAUCGUAUUGACUCAUAUAGGAACAUGUAUAUCCCAUUGUUCCGCAUUUGCUUUCGAUAUGUGC